rnacentral:rRNA from 1 species
GUAAGUUCCGACCUGCACGAAUGGUGCAACGAUCUGGGCACUGUCUCAACCAUGAUCUCGGUGAAAUUGUAGUAUCGGUGAAGAUGCCGGUUACCCGCAGUGGGACGAAAAGACCCCGUGCACCUUUACUAUAGCUUCGUAUUGACCUUGGUCAAACAAUGUGUAGGAUAGCUGGGAGGCUUUGAAUCUGCGUCGCCAGGCGUGGGGGAGCCGUUGUUGAAAUACCAGCCUUUGUUUGAUCGGGGCCUAACCUCUAACGAGGGACAGUGCGUGGUGGGUAGUUUGACUGGGGCGGUCGCCCCCCCAA